UGAAGCAACCCUGUUGUCAUUUACUAGCAGUACGCUAUUUGGACCUAGAAACGGAAAAUUGUGUGAGCAAACUUUUGGUCUUAUUUAUAUUUACGUCUAAAACUUAUUUUAAAUCUACUUUAGAGUGUAAAGAUAAGGCCAUAUUGACAUGGAAUGUCCUAUUAGCUCUAGUGCUGGUGAAUGAAAAUAGGGAAAAUAAAAUCCUGGUCUUUUUUACUGAAACAAAAACAUAAUAAUCUAAAAGACAAGCUCUAUGUCCAAGUAAAAAUGUGCAGUUUGCUAUAGAAAAUAUUGAAAAUAUUUCCAAAAAAUGGUUGUGGUGAAAAAAAUUUGGUUCAAAAUAUCAAUGAAUUUCUUAAAUCAAAUUUUUUAACCUUAAUUAGAUGUCAUAGUUGUUUAACUAGAAUGAAAAUUAUGAAGACUUUUAAGAAAGCUCUGGGACCAAAUUCAGUAAAGGAUCCUUGUUGCAGAAAUCCACUGAUCUUGGUUGAAAAAGGCAUGAAAACUUCAGCUGAUGAUCAAAUAAACACCAUCUUAGAUAUUAAAUCAUUCAGCUUUAUUAUGCUAUCUCUUGAAACAGAAAUGAAACCAGUAUUUCUGAAUUUUGAAGUAGAUAAGCUACUUUUGCCUGGCCAUAGGAAUUUUAAUGAAAUUGUGUUCUGUUUUGAAAAAAGUAUCAACUGUAAAGAUGUUUGAAAUCAAGAAAGUUUCCUAAGAAAAUGAUCUAAAAAGAGGAUAGCUUGAAAUAGAAGAAUGUAACAGAAAAAAAACUACUUUUGAAGCUUAUGGAACUUACAGCCGGACGUUUGUUUAAUGUACAUACAGACCAAACUGAGUCAGCAGCAACAGCCUGGAUUAAGUCAUCAGCAUAGGUUAAUGCCUAUAGUUGCACAGAAUGUCAUCAAAAGAAGUUUAUUGGAAAUACAUCUGAGAUGUAUUAAGCCAGUAUAAUCUGCAAUCCUCGUCAAGCAGUAUUAACAAGGAUGGAAAAAGUGUUCAAUACUCUGCUAUAACUUAUUUGUAAUCAGCUGGAACAACUACAGGAAACAUUACAUCGCUCUAUAGUUCUAUCCCAUAAAUAAUUGCCAGCUACACCUAACUAGACUGGACUGCAUCUCCAAUGUAUGUCCUCUUCAGUAGCUCUGAAACUUGUGUACAAAUUGCUCAAACUAAUACUUUUGGCCUACUCACUAAGUUUAAACUAUUCAACCUUCUGCUGCAAGUGCAUAAACUAAUAAUUGGAUGUCAUUUAAGAGAGGACUUUUACAAAUGAAAUUAAUCUUGAAUAAAGACUGCUAGCAACUUCAUUACUGCAAAUUUUACAAAAUAAGUUGUGUUUGAUUUCAGGUUUUUGAAGUUUCCCAACUCAAAGAUGGUUUUGGUGGUUUUAAUGAACAUUAGAGUUGGUUUCAACAUUUGUUGAUUUCAAGAGCAAUACAACAAAACUGGAAAUUGAUAUUAUUUAUUGCUGGACAAAAAUCUUUUUGUACAACCAAAGAAUUAGAAUCACUGAAAAGGAUGACUUAAGAAAGAAAAACAUAAUCAGUAACUUAGUUGUUCGGGGUGCCUGAGGCCGGAACGGCCCUUUACCCCUUCAUCUUGUGAUAAGGUCAAUGAGGUAGUUCCUUAAGGGUUGAAGCAUCGACAACAGCCAACAUCCCCAAAUAAACGCCCAU